rnacentral:rRNA from 1 species
UGGUGGAGUGAUUUGUCUGGUUGAUUCCGAUAACGAACGAGACGCCGACCUAUUAACUAGCAUACGGUAUGGCCUCUACGGGUGAAGCCGCUGAUGUGGGUGGGCCGCCGCAAGGUGGUUUAUUCCUCGGCGGGGAUCUCUGGCUAAUACUGGAGGCUUCUUAAAGGGACUACCGGUGACUAACCGGAGGAAGCGGCGCAAUAACA